rnacentral:piRNA from 1 species
UAAUCUAUGCAUCUCAACAGU